UACAGAGGUCCCAAGCGUUGUUCGGAUUUACUGGGCGUAAAGGGUGCGUAGGCGGUGGGGUAAGUUUGAGGUGAAAGCUCCGGGCUCAACCCGGAAAAUGCCUUGAAAACUAUCCGGCUAGAGGGUUGGAGGGGAGACUGGAAUUCUCGGUGUAGCAGUGAAAUGCGUAGAUCUCGAGAGGAACACCAGUGGCGAAGGCGGGUCUCUGGACAGUUCCUGACGCUGAGGCACGAAGGUCAGGGGAGCAAACGGG
rnacentral:rRNA from 1 species